rnacentral:misc_RNA from 1 species
UGUCAACAUUGCAAAAUGAAAAGUAAACAAAAAAAACCAUGUGACAUUUUGACAUUAAGAUUCUUGACUCUAAAAACGUCUUAGUAUCUUAUUCAAGCAGUGAUUAAUAAUGUUCUUUAAUGUCAAGUAAUGUAUUAAAAAUAACUACCUUCAAAGUCUAAACGGAAUGGAGUAAUUGUUACCAAAAGUGAAAUAAAUAUAUUCAAUAUUUAAUGUUCGGAAUUUAUUCGUACAAAUGGAUGAAGUCCUACGAAAUCCACAAUUUCAAAUUAAGUUGUCUGAACUACUUGAUCAAGAUUGGUUUAAGAUUGGUAUUUCCUUAAAUGUAACACAGCGUAGUUUAGAAACAAUUAGGAGUGAUUUUAUACAUUUUCCAAAACAAGAAGACAAAGCAUAUGAAAUGAUAAAAAAAUGGUUCAAUUUUGAUAAAAAUCCGACAUUUGAAAAGUUAAAGUUUGCCAUUUUAAAUAUUCCAAAAAACGAUCUAUUGAAGGAGGUUGAGGAUCUUGCAAAAAAACUUGAUUACGAUGAUGAUGAUGAUGAUGAUGAUGAUGAUGAUGAUGAUGAUGAUGAUGAUGAUGAUAAUGAUGAUGAUGAUAAUGGUGGGUUUUUCAUAAAGCCUUUAUAUUUAUCAGAAAGUGCUUCAAAUGCAGAUGUUCUGCGAAAUGCUCCUGCUCGUGCUCGUAAAAGAAAAGCAUGUAAUACAGAGAUUUCAAGUUCACCAAACAAAGAUUACACUGUUACUUCCAAUAAAGAUUUGUUGAGGAUGUCGGCUGAUCUUAAAAAAUUUUAUCUUGAAUAUUAUGGGAAAAUAGGUGAACUUCAACCGCUAAUAAAAGCAUCUGCAGACGUUGAUCUUAUACAAAAAUUUGUUGACCUCUGUAUCGUUGAUGCAGUAAAUGCUCAACUGGAACGCUCAGUGGAUGCUGUUUUUAGUGUUGAACGAAAGAAAUUUCUUGAAAAGCAGGUGCUUUAUACACCAAUUCCAUAUAGUGAAAUAUUUUUGAAAGAAAAAACAGUAAUAUUAAUAUCUGGAAUAGCUGGUAUUGGAAAAACAUGGUUGCUUAGAAAAUGUUUGCUUGAUUGGUCGAAUAGUUUAAUUUGGAAAAAUCUUGAACUUGUUUUUUAUUUUGAAUGCAGGAUACUCAAUUCAUAUGCAAAUAUUUCUAAUAUUAAUGAAUUAUUAAAUAUUUUCUACAAGGAUAUUGUAAACGAUUUUAAAUUUAGUAGUCACACUGUACUGUUUAUAAUUGAUGGGUUGGAUGAGUUUAAAUAUUUCAAUGAGCUAUUAAAUCCAAGUUUGACUAGCACUCCGAUUGUUAAAGUUUUACGAGAAAUUCAAAAAUACAAACAUGUAAUUGCUGGUAGAGUUUAUGCAAUUGAUCAGUACCAAAGUAUAUCUACAAAACAUAGUGAUAAGUUGACCAUUCAAAUAAUGGGAUUUAAUGAAAAUGGAAUAAAUAGUUAUGUAAAAAAUCAUGUUGUGAAAGGGAAAAAAAAAUUUGUAAAAACAACUUUAAAGGAGUCUCCCAUUGCAAAGGCCAUGGCAUCUGUUCCAUUUUAUUUAUCAUCAAUGUGUAAAAUUAUAAGUGAUUCAGAAAAAACAGAUUCAAAUUCUUUCUCAACAAUGACAGAUUUGUAUGCUAAUAUUUUCUUAUAUUUUUUGCGAGAACACAUCAUUAAAAUCAAUAAAUUGAUUUAUGAGAUAAUGGAAGAUAGUUCCAAUAAAAAUUACAUUUUAAAUAUUUGUAAAAUUGCAUAUAAAUUAUUUGUUGAAAAUAAAAUUAUAUUUUCCGAAGGAGAAAUUCAAGACUUUUAUAGUGACUUUGACAGAAAGGAAGGUAAUUUUUUUGGAUUUAUAGAAAGGAUUAAAACUGAUCUUGGUUGUUAUUAUCAGUUUGUGCAUUUGACAAUAAUGGAGUUUUGUGCAUCUGUUUAUGCAUAUAAUUGUUUAAGUAGUGAUGAGAUUAUGGCCAAUGAGAAGCUGAAGAGUUGUUUAUCAAUGAUUUGUGGAUUAUCCAAUAAAAACAAAAAUAGUCUAUUAAAGUUUCUUGUUAACCUAACUCCUUCAAAAAAAUGCAAUGAAAAAUCAUCACUCUUGUUUUUUAUUUUGGUAAUUCAAUAUGUAAAAUAUUUGGCGGACUUUAUAACGGCGCACCCCAAACUCGGUAAUCAACGAAACUUUUCGUUACGAAAAUUAAAAGUCGAUUUUCAUUGGCUAAUAAAUUAAAUUAGAAUUAAGCACGUUUUCAACUUUUCAAGUUCACUUCAGUACACGAAAACUUCGAGCAAGACUACUUCUUUGGCAGAAUUUAUUAAAAGCAUUAAAGAAAAAAGGCUAAUAAAUUUUCUCCAUCAAAACAGACUAAUCCAUGUUCGCAAAUCUUGUAUCUGUGGUCAGCAAAUGACUAUUCAAAGAUUUGAGCGGUGUCUAGAUAAACGCAUUUGGCGAUGCAGCAGCUGUAAGAAGACAAAGACACGAAGUGGUUUUUUUCAAUGUUCAACAUCUUUAAGUGUAAGUGAUAUACUUAAACUUAUGCUGUUAUGGGUUUCAGAGGUCCCUGUUACUGCUGCUGAAUUAGUAGGGAUAAGCCAACCAACCAGUUCAAUGGUAUCAGAGACAUCUGCUCAUUCAAAGUUUUAGAUGUUGCACCUGUAAACCAGCUGGGAAGUCCAGGACACAUAGUUCAAAUUAAUGAAUCUUUAUUUUUCAAACGCAAGUAUAAUUUGGGUCACAACAUUAAAAAGUAUUGUAUAUAAAGUAUAUACAAUCAGAUAAAUGGGCUUCGUACAAUAAUUUAAGAAACUUAAGCUAUAUUCAUUCAACUGUUAACCAUACCACAAACUUUGUUGACACUGAAACAGGGACAACAAUAAACCACAUUGAGUCCUUUUGGUAUAGGAUGAAGUUUAAAUUAAAGUUUGUUUUUGGUUAUCAAGGUGAUAUGAAAUGGUUUAGGUUGGAUGAGGCAGUAUACAGGGAAUAUUAUGAGUUUAAAAAUAAAGAUUUAUGGCAUAAUUUCAAUAUGUUCCUGGGUUAUAUUCACGAUAAGUAUCCUCUUUAAAUUACACAUUUAUUAAUAUUUUAAUUCUAUUUUAUUUUAUGGAUUUUUGGAGCAAAUUUUCUCAAAUGAUCAUAUACUGUGUUACACUGAUUACGAGAAGAUACAAAUACUGAUGAUGAGAAGAAUAUACAUGGAGGGAAAGUUUAAAACGACAAGAUUAAGAAAAAAAAGACAUUAGAAGAUUGAAAGAUAGUGAAGAUUUGGAAUAAAAAAAAGUUAGUGAAAGAAAAGUAAACUGAAGAAUAUCAGAACAUUUAUUUUAAAGAGCAAUAGUAUAUUGUAAUUGCUUAUUUGAGAUUUAAAACUGUUAGCACCUUUACUUAA